UGAAUACGAGACGCUAAGGCGUCGAAGUAGUGUAUGUCAUACUUCCAAGAAAAGCUUGCACUGUCAUAGAUAAAAAACGCCUGUACCAUAACCGACACAGGUGGGUAGGUAGAGUAUACUAAGGGGCGCGAGAUAACUCUCUCUAAGGAACUCGGCAAAAUAACUCCGUAACUUCGGGAGAAGGAGUGCCUUAUUUAUAAGGCUGCAAUAACAAGAUCCAAGCAACUGUUUAUCAAAAACACAGGUCUCCGCUAAGUCGUAAGACGAUGUAUGGGGGCUGACGCCUGCCCAGUGCCAGAAGGUUAAAGAAGUUGGUUAGCUUUUGCGAAGCUGAUAACUGAAGCCCUGGUGAACGGCGGCCGUAACAAUAACGGUCCUAAGGUAGCGAAAUUCCUUGUCGGGUAAGUUCCGACCCGCACGAAAGGCGUAAUGAUUUGGAUACUGUCUCGGAGAGGGGCUCGGUGAAAUAGACUUGUCUGUGAAGAUGCGGACUACCUGCACCAGGACAGAAAGACCCUAUGAAGCUUUACUGUAACUUGAAAUUGAAAUUGGACUUUAUUCGCGCAGCAUAGGUGGGAGGCGUUGAUUAUAAUCUCGUGGGAUUAUUGGAGCCAUCAGUGAGAUACCACUCUUGUAAUGUUAGAUUUCUAACUUUGAAUCAUUAUCUGGUCAAAGAACAGUUUCAGGCGGGCAGUUUGACUGGGGCGGUCGCCUCCUAAACGGUAACGGAGGCGUACAAAGGUUUCCUCUGAACGGUUAGAAAUCGUAUCUAGAGUGUAAAGGCAUAAGGAAGCUUGACUGUGAGACCUACAAGUCGAGCAGGGACGAAAGUCGGUCUUAGUGAUCUGACGGUACUGAGUGGAAAGGCCGUCACUCAACGGAUAAAAGUUACUCUAGGAUAACAGGCUGAUCUCCCCCAAGAGUUCACAUCGACGGGGAGGUUUGGCACCUCGAUGUCGGCUCAUCGCAUCCUGGGGCGGUAGUACGUCCCAAGGGUUGGGCUGUUCGCCCAUGAAAGCGGUACGCGAGCUGGGUUCAGAACGUCGUGAGACAGUUCGGUCCAUAUCCGGUGUAGGCGUUAAAAUAUUGAGAGGAGCCUUCUUUAGUACGAGAGGACCGAGAAGGACAUACCUCUGGUGUACCAGUUAUCAUGCCAACGGUAAACGCUGGGUAGCUAUGUAUGGAGUGGAUAACCGCUGAAAGCAUCUAAGUGGGAAGCCCACCUCAAGAUAAG
rnacentral:rRNA from 1 species